rnacentral:rRNA from 1 species
AUUGAACGCUGGCGGCAGGCCUAACACAUGCAAGUCGAACGGUAACAGGAAGAAGCUUGCUUCUUUGCUGACGAGUGGCGGACGGGUGAGUAACGUCCGGGAAACUGCCUGAUGGAGGGGGAUAACUACUGGAAACGGUAGCUAAUACCGCAUAACGUCGCAAGACCAAAGAGGGGGGACCUUCGGGCCGUCUUGUCCAUCGGAUGUGCCCAGAUGGGAUUAGCUAGUAGGUGGGGUAACGGCUCACCUAGGCGACGAUCCCUAGCUGGUCUGAGAGGAUGACCAGCCACACUGGAACUGAGACACGGUCCAG